CCGCCCCCGGCCCGGCCCGGCCCGGCAGAGGCAGGUCCGCGCUCCGGGGAGCGCGGGCACCGCGGGCGGGAGACCACGGCACGGGCACAAGAGAGGGCGGCGAGCGCGGCCACCAACAGCCGGGAGCCAGGCGGGGGCGGGCGGACAGGCCCAGCCCGUGGCAGCGCAGACACCGGCGGGGCUCGGCUCGGGCAGCGCCUCGUGCCGCCGCGCUGUGCCGGGCCGGGCCGGGGGCGCAGGCUGCGGCACACCGCACACCUCGCCCCGCUCCCGCCCGCAGUGUCCACUGGAGGACUGAAUGAAAAGCCACCAGACUGAUCGCUGUAGCUCAUUUCAAAGAGCAUCUUGCGGGGGAAGAAGAGCAGCUGCCCACCAAAUGCUCCGGGAUCCUCUGAAGGACUGAGUCAGUUAAGAGAAAAUCCUUACAGUAAGUUCUUGCAGGUGGAGGGGCAGCACCUCGUUAGAAAACAGUAUCAAUGGUCAAAGUUCAGCAACAUUAGCGUGUCCGUUUUACCUCUGAGCACUGAGAUCGCCUAGUGGCCUCAGCACUGACUUGACUGAGAUCAUCUCCUGAAGCUGCAAACUCCACUGCCGUGCCGUGCCGUGCCGUGCCGUGCCAAGGGCAGGAAACCUGAACAAAAGAGAUCCCGUCUACAGGUGAGGGCCAAUGGUGCUGGAGUUGACCUCACCACCUUUGCUCAAGAAAGAGGUUUGCGAGCUGGUGAUACUUUGCCUGUGUUUCCCCGGUAUGGAAAGGUCAUCCCAUUUUUACAAAGUUAUUUUUAUUUACCAAUGAUUAGUUCAAAACCAUUAUUUCAUUAUUAAGAAAAAUACUUUUUAUAAAAAUCUAUUCAAAGGAGAAAGCAGCAAUUAAAGAAAGUCUCUUUCUUUC